UAAGGUCCCGUAAGGGGGAACCCUGUUCAGCCCGCCGCGUGAGUGAUGAAGGCCUUCGGGUUGUAAAGCUCUUUUGGUGGGGACGAUGAUGACGGUACCCACAGAAUAAGCUCCGGCUAACUUCGUGCCAGCAGCCGCGGUAAUACGAGGGGAGCUAGCGUUGUUCGGAAUUACUGGGCGUAAAGGGCGCGUAGGCGGCCUGACAAGUCUGAUGUGAAAGCCCUGGGCUCAACCCGGGAAUUGCGUUGGAUACUGUCAGGCUUGAAUUCGGUAGAGGUGAGUGGAAUUCCCAGUGUAGCGGUGAAAUGCGUAGAGAUCGGGGGGGGGACCGGUGGCGAAGGCGGCUACCUAGCCUAAUACUGACACUGAGGCACGAAA
rnacentral:rRNA from 1 species